CAUCAUAAUCACUCUACAACCUGAAAGCUAUUCAUAGCCACACUGUGCUGUGGUAUUUUGCCUACACAGCCACUGUUCCCUUCAUCAACUUGUAAUGCUCACAAAAGGCAAAGUCCUGCUGAAGCUGGAAAUUUGAGAUAUAACAGAAAAGUUGGAAGUAUUCAGAAGUUUAUCCAGCAACUGUGGAGAGAAAAGUAACAGUCGUAUAUCAGAUUAUUUCCAAACAUCUGAGAAGACAGACAAGGCGAUGGUUUAAGGUUUCUUCCGAAUAACAGCAUCUCUGAUAUUGCACUCCUCCC